AUUGAACGCUGGCGGCAGGCCUAACACAUGCAAGUCGAGCGGCUGAACGGAGCUUGCUCGUGGAUUCGGCGGCGGACGGGCGAGUAAUGCCUAGGAAUCUGCCUAGUUGCGUUGUCGAACGGCCGGAAGCGGGGGCUCAUACCCCAUUAGUCCUGAGGGCGAAAGGGUGGGGUCUUGGGACCUCACGCUCCCACAUGAGCCUAUGUCGGAUUAGCUAGUUGGUGGGGUAAAGGCCUACCAAGGCGACGAUCCGUAACUGGUCUGAGAGGAUGAUCAGCCACACUGGAACUGAGACACGGUCCAGACUCCUACGGGAGGCAGCAGUGGGGAAUAUUGGACAAUGGGCGAAAGCCUGAUCCAGCCAUGCCGCGUGUGUGAAGAAGGUCUUCGGAUUGUAAAGCCCUUUUAGUGGGGAAGAAAAGCAGUAGGUUAAUACCUCGCUGUUCUGACGGUACCAAAAGAAUAAGCACCGGCUAACUUCGUG
rnacentral:rRNA from 1 species